UCUGUCAACGGCUCGUUCGCGAGUCGCGUCGCAUUCCAUAUUCCCGAAAAUUAAAAAUGACUCGGGCGAUAAUGGGUGGUCGACACUGAUGGCCCCGAAAUUGAACAACGAUACGUUUCGCGGCUAGUGAAUCGGCAACGCAUUUAUACCGGGACCCGUCAGCGCGUUCAGUAGCUUGGCGAGUAGCCAGAAACCGCGGACGUCACUCCUGAUAAUUGUCGUCGUUUCCAUUCGGUCGAGUUUUAUCAGUAAGAAAAUGAAGCAAGCAUGGUCCUUCAUUUCAUCUUCAAUGCCUACUUUUUCAGCUACGAGUAGGAUCCCAACUAACAGGAUAGAAAUAAUUGAAGAUCGUGAGAAAUAUAUGGAUAUAGUGGGUUAAAAUAUUGACAAAUCCUCCCUUAGAAAUGAAUAACAGAACGAUAAAGAAGUCGAAGUUGACGUCAUUACUCCCUCUGGCUAACGAACGGACUAUACAACGUGGAAAAACGUCGGGUUUCAAGCGGAACGAGUCGCGUCAAAGCCGGCGCAAAUAAAAUAAUGGCCGUUUUAAAUGGGACGAGACGUAGCGACGUGGUUUUCACACGGGACGCACGUGUGGUCCGUGGCACAGACUCUCUCACUCGGGAGGGCGACGAGUGACGAAUUGCCAUAGUCGGAACGCACCUCGGAUGCCACCGCGGGCAAAACAUGACACAUUUCACAACAUCAAUGUUUUCGGAAGCCACUAACGAGCUUCGAAGUCGACGUUAUUCGGGGGCGCCCCUCGCCCCACCCCACGUUCGAGGAUAAUUUACGACCGCUCGCGAAUACGACGAAUAUUUCCUCUCGCUCUCUGUAGGUUCGAAACUUACCUAAACUUAUUAUUUUCGACUAGCUGACCCGGCGCACUCCGUACUGUCUCAAUCGAUAAAUAAAAGACCUAGAAUUUUGUAUAAAAUAAUCAUUAAGCAUUAAAGUGCCAUCCUCACAAAAUAUCAAAAAAAGGGCACAUUACUACCUACCACAAAGGAUCGCCGCAGUAAAGAAA